rnacentral:rRNA from 1 species
ACGGAAGGCAGCAGUGGGGAAUAUUGCACAAUGGGGGAAACCCUGAUGCAGCAACGCCGCGUGAAGGAAGACGGUCUUCGGAUUGUAAACUUUUGUUCUUAGUGAAGAUAAUGACGGUAGCUAAGGAGAAAGCCACGGCUAACUACGUGCCAGCAGCCGCGGUAGUACGUAGGUGGCGAGCGUUGUCCGGAAUUACUGGGUGUAAAGGGAGCGCAGGCGGGAAAUCAAGUUGGAUGCGAAAUGUCGGGGCUUAACCCCGGAACUGCAUCCAAAACUGAUUUUCUUGAGUGAAGUAGAGGUAGGCGGAAUUCCGAGUGUAGCGGUGAAAUGCGUAGAUAUUCGGAGGAACACCAGUGGCGAAGGCGGCCUACUGGGCUUUAACUGACGCUGAGGCUCGAAAGUGUGGGGAGCAAACAGGAUUAGAUACCCUGGUA